GAUGAACGCUGGCGGCGUGCCUAACACAUGCAAGUCGAACGGAACUUUUAUGGAUUGAGACUUCGGUUGAUUGAAGUUAAGUUUAGUGGCGGACGGGUGAGUAACGCGUGAGUAACCUGCCUUUCACAGGGGGAUAACGUUUGGAAACGACUGAUAAUACCGAAUGUGCUCUACGGAGUAAAGAAGCCCUUAAAGCUUCGCUUAGAGAUGGGCCUGCGGCGCAUUAGCUAGUUGGUGAGGUAACGGCCCACCAAGGCGACGAUGCGUAGCCGAACUGAGAGGUUGAACGGCCACAUUGGAACUGAGAAACGGUCCAGACUCCUACGGGAGGCAGCAGUGGGGAAUAUUGGGCAAUGGGCGAAAGCCUGACCCAGCGACGCCGCGUGAGGGAAGACGGUCUUCGGAUUGUAAACCUUUGUUUUUGGUGACGAAUAAUGACGGUAGCCAAAGAGGAAGCCACGGCUAACUACGUG
rnacentral:rRNA from 1 species